AUUGAACGCUGGCGGCAGGCCUAAUACAUGCAAGUCGAACGGUAACAUAAAAGAAGCUUGCUUCUUUUGAUGACGAGUGGCGGACGGGUGAGUAAUAUUUGGGAAACUACCUGAUAGAGGGGGACAACAGUUGGAAACGACUGCUAAUACCGCAUAAAGCCUGAGGGUGAAAGCAGCAAUGCGCUUAAAGAUGGGCUCGCGUCUGAUUAGCUAGUUGGUGAGGUAACGGCUCACCAAGGCGACGAUGCGUAGCCGACCUGAGAGGGUGAUCGGCCACAUUGGGACUGAGACACGGCCCAGACUCCUACGGGAGGCAGCAGUCGGGAAUAUUGCGCAAUGGAGGAAACUCUGACGCAGUGACGCCGCGUAUAGGAAGAAGGUUUUCGGAUUGUAAACUAUUUUAGUCAGGGAAGAAAAAUGACAGUACCUGAAGAAUAAGCUCCGGCUAACUACGUG
rnacentral:rRNA from 1 species